rnacentral:rRNA from 1 species
CCUACGGGAGGCAGCAGUGAGGAAUAUUGGUCAAUGGGCGAGAGCCUGAACCAGCCAAGUCGCGUGAGGGAAGACGGUCCUAUGGAUUGUAAACCUCUUUUGUCGGGGAGCAACGUGUGCCCGGUUUGCCGCCGUGAAUGUACCCCAAGAACAAGGAUCGGCUAACUCCGUGCCAGCAGCCGCGGUAAUACGGAGGAUGCGAGCGUUAUCCGGAUUUAUUGGGUUUAAAGGGUGCGUAGGCGGAACAUUAAGUCAGCGGUAAAAUCUCGGGGCUCAACCCCUUUACGCCGUUGAAACUGGGGAGCUUGAGUGGGCGAGAAGUAGGCGGAAUGCGUGGUGUAGCGGUGAAAUGCAUAGAUAUCACGCAGAACCCCGAUUGCGAAGGCAGCAUGCCGGCGCCCGACUGACGCUGAGGCACGAAAGCGUGGGGAUCGAACAGGAUUAGAUACCCGAGUAGUC